AGAGCGAACGCUGGCGGCAGGCUUAACACAUGCAAGUCGAGCGCCCCGCAAGGGGAGCGGCAGACGGGAGAGUAACACGUGGGAACGCGCCCUUUGGUUCGGAAUAACUCAGGGAAACUUGAGCUAAUACCGGAUAAGCCCUUACGGGGAAAGAUUUAUCGCCAAAGGAACGGCCCGCGUCCGAUUAGCUAGUUGGUGAGGUAAUGGCUCACCAAGGCGACGAUCGGUAGCUGGUCUGAGAGGAUGACCAGCCUCAUUGGGACUGAGACACGGCCCAAACUCCUACGGGAGGCAGCAGUGGGGAAUAUUGGACAAUGGGCGCAAGCCUGAUCCAGCCAUGCCGCGUGGAUGAUGAAGGCCUUAGGGUUGUAAAGUCCUUUUAACGGGGAAGAUAAUGACGGUACCCGUAGAAUAAGCCCGGCUAACUUCGCGCCAGCAGCCGC
rnacentral:rRNA from 1 species